rnacentral:rRNA from 1 species
GAUGAACGCUGGCGGCGUGCCUAAUACAUGCAAGUCGAGCGAACAGACGAGGAGCUUGCUCCUCUGACGUUAGCGGCGGACGGGUGAGUAACACGUGGAUAACCUACCUAUAAGACUGGGAUAACUUCGGGAAACCGGAGCUAAUACCGGAUAAUAUAUUGAACCGCAUGGUUCAAUAGUGAAAGACGGUUUUGCUGUCACUUAUAGAUGGAUCCGCGCCGCAUUAGCUAGUUGGUAAGGUAACGGCUUACCAAGGCAACGAUGCGUAGCCGACCUUAGAGGGUGAAUCGCCACACUGGAACUGAGACACGGUCCAGACUCCUACGGGAGGCAGCAGUAGGGAAUCUUCCGCAAUGGGCGAAAGCCUGACGGAGCAACGCCGCGUGAGUGAUGAAGGUCUUCGGAUCGUAAAACUCUGUUAUUAGGGAAGAACAAAUGUGUAAGUAACUAUGCACGUCUUGACGGUACCUAAUCAGAAAGCCACGGCUAACUACGUG